CAGCCUGGCACCGAUACAGCACCAUCGUAUUGCUCAGAAGAAACUCUUUCAAGUUCAGAAUGUGACAUAGUGGCAGCUUGUUCACCAGAUGUGGAAACCUCCCAAGGAUCUUACUGCCAGGUAUUUCCGGCUUUGACUGUGCCUGAUGAGUCCCAGCAAAAGGUUUGUGCAUUCUGUGGAUGAGUUCAGUCAGCUGAGGGCACAGCUAAUGUCACUGGCAACAGUACAAGGAGCGGGGAUGCUGAUCCUUCAGAAGUAGCUGCCCUUCAAAAAAGAAUAGCUACACUGGAGGACUGCUUGAAAAACAUGAAGCGAAAAGUUAAGACACUGCAACAGCAGAAAAGCAGAGCAAACAGUCGAAACAAUGAACUGUCGCAAAACAUCAGAAAGUACUUGUCACCAGAUCAACUGCUAGGCAUGGAGACUUCCAGUACGAGGGGGACACCAUGGUCUACCGAGACUAUACAAAAAGGCCUCAAGCUCCGUUUGGCAUGCGGAUCGAGAGGCUACAACACCAUCAGGGAGCUUGCUGUACCUAUUCCAAGUGAACGAACAUUACAACGUCGUGUUCAGAACUACAAGUUUUCACCAAGAAUUCUCCACGAGGUUCUGCAGUCCCUUGCU